UACGUAGGGUGCAAGCGUUAUCCGGAAUUAUUGGGCGUAAAGAGCUCGUAGGCGGUCUGUCGCGUCUGCUGUGAAAACUCGGGGCUUAACCCCGGGCCUGCAGUGGGUACGGGCAGACUAGAGUGCGGUAGGGGAGACUGGAAUUCCUGGUGUAGCGGUGAAAUGCGCAGAUAUCAGGAGGAACACCGAUGGCGAAGGCAGGUCUCUGGGCCACUACUGACGCUGAGAAGCGAAAGCAUGGGGCGCGAACAGG
rnacentral:rRNA from 1 species